rnacentral:rRNA from 1 species
GGAGUUAGCCGGUGCUUCUUCUGUGAGUGAUGUCCUUCCUGCCGGCUAUUAACCCGCAGGCCUUCUUCCUCACUGAAAGUGCUUUACAACCCGAAGGCCUUCUUCACACACGCGGCAUGGCUGGAUCAGGGUUUGCCCCCAUUGUCCAAUAUUCCCCACUGCUGCCUCCCGUAGGAGUCUGGGCCGUGUCUCAGUCCCAGUGUGGCUGAUCAUCCUCUCAGACCAGCUACGGAUCGUCGCCUUGGUGAGCCGUUACCUCACCAACCAGCUAAUCCGACAUAGGCUCAUCCGAUAGCGCGAGGCCCGAAGGUCCCCCGCUUUCCCCCGUAGGGCGUAUGCGGUAUUAGCCUGGGUUUCCCCCAGGUUAUCCCCCACUACCCGGGCAGAUUCCUAUGCAUUACUCACCCGUCCGCCGCUCGCCACCAGGGAGCAAGCUCCCCGUGCUGCCGCUCGACUUGCAUGUGUUAGGCCUGCCGCCAGCGUUCAAUCUGAGCCAUAAUCAAACUCUGA